AACGAACGCUGGCGGCAUGCCUAACACAUGCAAGUCGAACGAGACCUUCGGGUCUAGUGGCGCACGGGUGCGUAACGCGUGGGAACCUGCCCUUAGGUUCGGAAUAACUCCCCGAAAGGGGUGCUAAUACCGGAUAAUGUCUUCGGACCAAAGAUUUAUCGCCUUUGGAUGGGCCCGCGUUGGAUUAGCUAGUUGGUAGGGUAAAAGCCUACCAAGGCGACGAUCCAUAGCUGGUCUGAGAGGAUGAUCAGCCACACUGGGAAUGAGACACGGCCCAGACUCCUACGGGAGGCAGCAGUAGGGAAUAUUGGACAAUGGGCGAAAGCCUGAUCCAGCAAUGCCGCGUGAGUGAUGAAGGCCUUAGGGUUGUAAAGCUCUUUUACCCGGGAUGAUAAUGACAGUACCGGGAGAAUAAGCGCCGGCUAACUCCGUG
rnacentral:rRNA from 1 species